rnacentral:rRNA from 1 species
AGGAUCAUUAUUGAAAUAAACCUGAUGAGUUGUUGCUGGUUCUCUAGAGAGCAUUGUGCACGCUUGUCAUCUUUAUGUCUCCACCUGUGCACAUUUUGUAGACCUGGGAUUCACUUUCUAGGUCUAUGUUCUUUUUUCAUAUAAUCUUAUUGUGAUAUAAUGACCCUAUAUAACAUAAACCUAUACAACUUUCAGCAACGGAUCUCUUGGCUCUCGCAUCGAUGAAGAACGCAGCGAAAUGCGAUAAGUAAUGUGAAUUGCAGAAUUCAGUGAAUCAUCGAAUCUUUGAACGCACCUUGCGCUCCUUGGUAUUCCGAGGAGCAUGCCUGUUUGAGUGUCAUUAAUAUAUCAACCUCUUUAAAUUUUGAGAGUGUUUGGAUGUGGGGGAUGUUAUUUUGCUGGCCUUCUUCAAGGUCAGCUCCCCUGAAAUGUAUUAGCGGAACAAUUUGUUGACCGUUCAUUGGUGUGAUAGCAUAUCUACGCUAUUGACGUGAAGCAAGUUCAGCUUAUAACAUGGACAAUUCUCUAUUUAUUAAUGUGACCUCAAAUCAGGUAGGACUACCCGCUGAACUUAAGCAUAUCAAUA